rnacentral:rRNA from 1 species
GGAUUAGAUACCCCACUAUGCCUAGCCCUAAACAUCGAUACUAACCUACUUAUUUUAUCCGCCAGGGUACUACGAGCAUCAGCUUAAAACCCAAAGGACUUGGCGGUGCUUUAGAUCCACCUAGAGGAGCCUGUUCUAGAACCGAUAAUCCCCGUUAAACCUCACCUUUUCUUGCCAUAUCCGCCUAUAUACCGCCGUCGUCAGCUUACUCUGUGAGGAACUUGUAGUAAGCACAACCGGCACAGCCCAAACGUCAGGUCGAGGUNUAGCGAAUGGAAAGGGAAGAAAUGGGCUACAUUCAAUAGUUAUAAUGAAUACGAAUGGUGUCUUGAAAAAGACAUCUGAAGGAGGAUUUAGCAGUAAGCAGUGAAUAGAGUGCCCUGCUGAAAUUGGCCCUGAAGCGCGUACACACCGCCCGUCACUCUCCCCGAGCUAAUAAAGACAAAUUACUAAUAAGCAAAAUCUGCAAAGGGGAGGCAAGUCGUAACAUGGUAAGCGUACCGGAAGGUGCGCUUGG